rnacentral:misc_RNA from 1 species
GAAAUGCGAUACUUGGUGUGAAUUGCAGAAUUCAGUGAAUCAUCGAAUCUUUGAACGCACAUUGCGCCCCUUGGUAUUCCAUGGGGCAUGCCUGUUCGAGCGUCAUUUGUACCCUCAAGCUCUGCUUGGUGUUGGGUGUUUGUCCACUCCGUUGUGUGUGGACUCGCCUUAAAGCAAUUGGCAGCCAGUGUUUUGGUAUUGAAGCGCAGCACAUUUUGCGAGUCUUGCCUGUAAUGCUGGCGUCCAGUAAGCCUUUUUCCACUUUUGACCUCGGAUCAGGUAGGGAUACCCGCUGAACUUAA